rnacentral:rRNA from 1 species
UACGGAGGGUGCAAGCGUUGCUCGGAAUUAUUGGGCGUAAAGGGUAGGUAGGUGGUCUCAUUUGUCUCGUGUGAAAGCCUUGGGCUUAACCCAAGAAGUGCGCGAGAAACGGUGAGACUCGAGUACUGGAGAGGGUCGUGGAAUUCCCGGUGUAGCGGUGAAAUGCGUAGAGAUCGGGAGGAACACCAGAGGCGAAGGCGGCUACCUGGACAAUUGCUGACGCUCAGGCACGAAAGCGUGGGGAGCAAAAGGG